GGGGUUGUGGUUCAGUGGUAGAACACUCUCCUAGCAUGUCCGGCGAGGCACUGGGUUUGAUCCUCAGCACCACA
rnacentral:tRNA from 1 species